ACAGCUUACUGACAACGAGGCCGAGAGUCCAUCGGGACUGUCCCCGUCAGGUUGGGCAGAAAUAGGGAAAUGUACCGAUUGGACUGGGCCUUGACUCUUCCGGAAGAGCAGGGACGAAUACACAGCCUGUGUGGAGGUAGAAGGAGGUGUGGAAUCAGGCACCCGGUCCCCACUGCUGUCCACUUGUCUACCAAGUCGAAAAAUGUUGCAGUGUGGCUGGGCUCGGUGGCUCAGCCUGUCAUCCCGCGCUUUGGGAGGCCGAGAAUAUGGACAUAAUGCUGGAGCUUCUGCAGCCAUCUUGGACCAUGAGGUGACUGAAGAGGAGAGCCACAUGCUGAAUGAAGAUGGCAAAGCAGAAAGUUAGGUGCUUAGAUGAUAGAGGGACUGUGGAGACAGAAGCAGCACCAUCUUGGAUGCUAGUCCACCAUGCUGACUUCUGAUUAACCCCUGUUCUGGGAAGGCCUCUAAGAUUUCUAUUUUAUCUACUAUUCCUUGUGUAAGAGUAUAUACUUACAAUAAAGCCUGCCCUUAGGUCAAAAUGACCUUUACCAUAAA